UUCUUUGAAAUUUUAACUUUUUUUCGCUAUAGUAAAAAUACGGGCUUGCCCGUUAUGACGCUAAACGCGGUUGCGGAAUAAACGUCGUGGACCCGGGGGCAGUACCCGGCAGCUCCACCAUUUUAGCCCUCCUCGACGGCCGGGCUAACAGCAUGGGGCUGAAACAGGAUCGACACGCGUGGUAAAGGCUUCUUGUGGCGUCCGGUUUUUCCGCCGUUAUCGGAUAAAUUUGAUAGUUGCAAAUGACAACUCUCAGUUCGUAGCAGCCAACGACAAUUUUGUCGCUGGUGACGAAGCUAUCGCUGCCUAAUUGGGCCGCGUAGCACAGCUACUUCAAUUCCUUAGGCAUUGAACCGUUUAAGGUGGGGUUUUGGGGCCGGCGUCCUAGCAACAGAAAGCCGGUCCU
rnacentral:tmRNA from 2 species